rnacentral:rRNA from 1 species
UACGUAGGGGGCAAGCGUUGUCCGGAUUUAUUGGGCGUAAAGAGCGUGUAGGCGGCCAGACAGGUCCGUUGUGAAAACUAGAGGCUUAACCUCUAGACGUCGAUGGAAACCGUCUGGCUAGAGUCCGGAAGAGGAGAAUGGAAUUCCUGGUGUAGCGGUGAAAUGCGCAGAGUAUCAGGAAGAACACCCGUGGCUAAGGCGGUUCUCUAGUACGGUACUGACGCUGAGACGCGGAAAGCGUGGGGAGCGAACAGG